AAAAAAAAAAAAAAAACCUCUAGAAAUCAACAUUUAUGCCACCAACUGCUUCCUAACUAAAGACUAAAUUAUCUCCAAAACAAGUCCGCACCCCCAAAUCAACCACUACACAGCUAAUAGUUGACAUCAAUCCACUCACACCUCACCUCAGAUAGGCAUAACAUACCAAAGAAAAGGGAGAUACGAAGGAAUACAAAUUGAACAGAAAGGCGAGCGCUGG
rnacentral:lncRNA from 1 species